UACCAGAAAAUCUUCCCUGAUCCCUUGGCCCCAGCAGGGAGGACAUUUGCCUAUUUCUAGUCCUCUGGAAUCUCUCCCAUUCUCUAUACGAAGUAACAAGAACUUGCACUGCGAUGGUAACCAUGAGCAUGGAAAGGAAAGCAUGGCUAUGAACACCACUCAAAUGAGCAGCCACCCUGCUUAUGCACGGGGAUGCAGAAGAGGCAAGAAGGAGACGCAGAUGGUUGCAAAACAUGAGCCUGACUACAUUCUGGGAUGAGGAGACUGACCGACAGUAACCUGCCAAUAGCUUUGGCCCAUGAGGACAAAGGGAUGCUAUUUCAAGCAGAGGGAAGAGGAGCAGCAUGAACAUCAGACAGUGACUUAGCCCUGAAAGAACUGGCCAGAAAAUAGGCCUGAGAGCUGAGGCAGAUCACUUCCCUCUCUUUCAUGUGCUGCCCAGACUCUCCCUUCUUCUCCUAGUUGACCGCUCCUCACCCUUCUAGGUCAACCAAAUAUCUGGAUAGAACUUUACAGUUCAUGAAGCGCUUUCACAUACAUUGUCUCAUCAACCCUGUGCGAGAGAUUGGCAUUCCCAGUUUGUAGUCAGGGAACCUGCGUGGUAGUAAGGGGCAGGAGUAGGUGUUGAGCAGAGGUAUUGUGAUUCUCUCUUUAUCCAAUUGAACACUGUAUCAGGUUCUCUAAGAGACAGAAGCAUAAGACAUGGCCUUUUGACCCCAGGGGCCUACCAUCUUAUUGGUGAAACACACAUAAAACACAUCAAAAGAUUAGAGAAUAAGUUCAGUAUGUGCAUCAGAUAACUAUAUAUCAGUAAGUAUACAACAAUACU
rnacentral:lncRNA from 1 species